rnacentral:tRNA from 1 species
ACUUAAAUAGCUUAUAAGAGCGUGAUAUUGAAGAUAUCAAGGAAAUUUUUAAAAUUUUUAAGUA